UGGUCACAAAGACCUUCAGGCUGACUCUACCUCACUCUCCAUGACUGGUCUGUGGAGGGGUUGGGGUGGGGACAAUGAAGAACAAUGAGGGCAAAGGUCAAGGGGUAAACAAAAUAGCUGGAGAAGUUGUGAGCUCAAAAGCUUGUGACAUUAGUCUUACAGCUUACCCUCCACUAAUCUCCUUUUAUAAAGGAAGAAACAUACAUCAUAGGUACAGGCAUUUUAAAAAAUAGCUCUUGUAGCAAGCCAGAUAACACCUGGUUUGGAACUGACACUGAUGACAUCAUUUAAUGGGACUGAGGACCCCAUGAGAUGCCAGAGCAGGUAAUGGGGAGAGGGCAAGCUCACUGCUACAGUAUCUUACUUCAUCUUGAUUAUAUGCCUGGAAGAGAUGCUCAGAAAUAUUUGCCAUAGAAUUAAAUGAAUUGGAAAUCCUUUUACGUCUGCCUUUCCAAAGCAUGCCGUUAAUAUUUGAUUGGCCUGUCAUUUAGCAGAACCUGGGCUCCGUCUGAACAUAUGGGUCAGGCGUGAAGAGGGCUGGAUAAAUGG
rnacentral:lncRNA from 1 species